rnacentral:rRNA from 1 species
GACGAACGCUGGCGGCGUGCUUAACACAUGCAAGUCGAACGGGCCUGUCUUCUUUUUUGGGGGUGGGUUGAGUGGCGAACGGGUGAGUAUCACGUGAGUAACCUGCCCUUCGGUCCUGGAUAACCGCUUGAAAGGGCGGCUAAUACGGGGUGGUCCGGUUGGUCCGCAUGGGCUGGUCGGGAUAGAUUCACUGUUUUUGGUGUUUCGGCGGGGGAUGGGCUCGCGGCCUAUCAGCUUGUUGGUGGGGUGAUGGCCUACCAAGGCGGUGACGGGUAGCCGGCCUGAGAGGGUGGGCGGCCACACUGGGACUGCGCUACGGCCCAGACUCCUGCGGGAGGCAGCAGUGGGGGGUAUUGCACAAUGGGCGGAAGCCUGAUGCAGCGACGUCGCGUGAGGGAUGGAGGCCUUCGGGUUGUGAACCUCUGUUUCCGGUGGUGAAGGCCCUGUCCGUGUGGUGGGGUUGACGGUAGCCGGGGAUGAAGCGCCGGCUAACUACGUG